AUCAUUUCUUGGCCUUUUGACUAAGAUUCAGUGUACAGUAUCUGUUCUUAUCAGUGUAAUAAAAAUCACCCACCAUCUAACUGUUAGAAUGCAACCUAUGUUUGGCAUAUGGAAAUUUUUUUCUAGGUUUU
rnacentral:snRNA from 1 species